ensembl:lncRNA
GGAAACUGUAUUUCCUGUCAGAGAUGCUCAGUGAUCCUCAGAGCAGAGAGAGGUACUGCUGUCUUCUGAGUUCUUCAGUGUCCCAACUGAGACAUUCAAACCUCAUUGCAGAGCUCAUGUCUUUCCUCACCAUCAUGUGAGUGUGAGAUUGCUCUGGAUUCUGGUUAUGUGGCCUGCAGCACCUAUAAGAACAAGCUCGUCCAGUGUGCCUGCAUUCCAGCUUCACAGAAAAGAAGAUCAGACACCAGCGAGGGAGGAUAAGAAAGACAGACACAACAACAUUGUCAUCCCCUAUGUAGCGGUGUAUCAGAAAAACUCAGGAGAGUUUUCUCCAAAUACGACAUCCCAGUGUACUUCAGAC